rnacentral:lncRNA from 1 species
CGACGUCUUCCUUUUUUUGUUUUUUUUUUCCUAUCUCUCUCAUCGAGAAGAUGAAAAUACGAACGGCAAUCUAGAGAAGACUAUCAGCCUCUGCCGCAGUCGACGGCGUCGCAGCUACCGCGCUCCACUCAAUUUUCUACCCCGUCCAUCUAAGCCGAAAAAUCCAGUCGUCGCGCCGACGAGAUCCGAGUGGUGGCAGUGAGCAAGACGAAUCUGGCCGUUGUCCUCUAUCAAGUAUAUGACGCCGACCACCGCUGGUUCGGCGAGAACUACGUCCAUGGAAUCGUCG